AAAAAACCCUCUUAACAUUGAAUUCUUCUAUAGUCUAAAAGUUUGAAAAUAGUUUGAAGUUAAGACUGAAAAUUCUUGAAAAGCCUAAAGAUCCCUUACAGCAAACCAUUCACGCAGAAUUCCCUCCAAGCUUCCAGUGCUCUGUUUUGAUAAAGUCGAAAAUCGAUUUUGAGCCAUGAUGUCUAUUUGUUUUAGUAAGUUUGCUGCGGACAGAGACUGUUCCCUAUGU
rnacentral:lncRNA from 1 species